rnacentral:lncRNA from 1 species
CGCUGCCCCCGUCAGUGCGCGUCUGCGUGCCGGGCAGCGGCGGCAUCCAACCUGCUUUAUUCCCCUUGCCUGCAGCGCCACAGCGAGCGAGGAGGGGGAGAGAGGGAGUCUGUCUGCAAAGUGCUGCUCCCUGGUGCUCAGAGGCGGCUGCUCCAGCUCCAACUCUCAUUCAUUUCGCCGGUUAACAUGAGAGAUCAUGGCCGCCUUCGGGCUUCUCAGCUAUGAGCAGAGACCGCUGAAGCGCCCCCGGCUCGGGCCGCCCGACGUCUACCCGCAGGACCCCAAGCAGAAGGAGGAUGAACUGACUGCUGUGAAUGUAAAGCAAGGCUUCAACAAUCAGCCGGCCUUCACCGGAGAUGAACAUGGCUCCGCCAGAAAUAUUGUAAUUAACCCAUCA